rnacentral:tRNA from 1 species
GAUCGCGUAGCUCAGUUGGUAGAGCAACCGCCUUUUAAGCGGUAGGUCCUGGGUUCGAGCCCCAGCGCGAUCACUA